rnacentral:rRNA from 1 species
AUUGAACGCUGGCGGCAGGCCUAACACAUGCAAGUCGAACGGUAACAGGAAACAGCUUGCUGUUUCGCUGACGAGUGGCGGACGGGUGAGUAAUGUCUGGGAAACUGCCUGAGGGAGGGGGAUAACUACUGGAAACGGUAGCUAGUACCGCAUAACGUAGCAAGACCAAAGAGGGGGAACUUCGGGCAUCUUGCCAUCGGAUGUGCCCAGAUGGGAUUAGCUAGUAGGUGGGGUAACGGCUCACCUAGGCGACGAUCCCUAGCUGGUCUGAGAGGAUUACCAGCCACACUGGGACUGAGACACGGUCCAGACUCCUACGGGAGGCAGCAGUGGGGAAUAUUGCACAAUGGGCGCAAGCCUGAUGCAGCCAUGCCGCGUGUAUGAAGAAGGCCUUCGGGUUGUAAAGUACUUUCAGCGGGGAGGAAGGGAGUAAAGUUAAUACCUUUGCUCAUUGACGUUACCCGCAGAAGAAGCACCGGCUAACUCCGUGCCAGCCGCCGCCGUAA